AGUGGUUGUGGAGUCGUCGUUGAAAUACCACUCUGGUCGUGCUGGAUGUCUAACCUGGGUCCGUGAUCCGGAUCAGGGACAGUGUCUGAUGGGUAGUUUAACUGGGGCGGUUGCCUCCUAAAGAGUAACGGAGGCGCCCAAAGGUUCCCUCAGCCUGGUUGGCAAUCAGGUGUUGAGUGUAAGUGCACAAGGGAGCUUGACUGUGAGACCGACGGGUCGAGCAGGGACGAAAGUCGGGACUAGUGAUCCGGCAGUGGCUUGUGGAAGCGCUGUCGCUCAACGGAUAAAAGGUACCCCGGGGAUAACAGGCUGAUCUUCCCCAAGAGUCCAUAUCGACGGGAUGGUUUGGCACCUCGAUGUCGGCUCGUCGCAUCCUGGGGCUGGAGUCGGUCCCAAGGGUUGGGCUGUUCGCCCAUUAAAGCGGUACGCGAGCUGGGUUUAGAACGUCGUGAGACAGUUCGGUCCCUAUCCGCUGCGCGCGUAGGAAUAUUGAGAAGGGCUGUCCCUAGUACGAGAGGACCGGGACGGACGAACCUCUGGUGUGCCAGUUGUCCUGCCAAGGGCAUGGCUGGUUGGCUACGUUCGGAAAGGAUAACCGCUGAAAGCAUCUAAGCGGGAAGCCUGCUUCGAGAUGAGUAUUCCCACCAACUUGAUUGGUUAAGGCUCCCAGUAGACGACUGGGUUGAUAGGCCAGAUGUGGAAGCCCUGUAAGGGGUGGAGCUGACUGGUACUAAUAGGCCGAGGGCUUGUCCUCAGUUG
rnacentral:rRNA from 1 species